GGUGGUGGCUCAGUGGUAGAGCGCUUGCCUAACAUGUGUGCGGCAUUGGGCUCGAUUCUCAGCACCA
rnacentral:tRNA from 1 species